rnacentral:rRNA from 1 species
UACGUAGGUGGCAAGCGUUGUCCGGAAUUAUUGGGCGUAAAGCGCGCGCAGGCGGUCCCUUAAGUCUGAUGUGAAAGCCCACGGCUCAACCGUGGAGGGUCAUUGGAAACUGGGGGACUUGAGUGCAGAAGAGGAAAGUGGAAUUCCAUGUGUAGCGGUGAAAUGCGUAGAGAUGUGGAGGAACACCAGUGGCGAAGGCGACUUUCUGGUCUGUAACUGACGCUGAGGCGCGAAAGCGUGGGGAGCGAACAGG